rnacentral:rRNA from 1 species
UACGUAGGGUGCAGGCGUUAAUCGGAAUUACUGGGCGUAAAGCGUGCGCAGGCGGUCUUUUAAGUCAGAUGUGAAAUCCCCGGGCUUAACCUGGGAACUGCGUUUGAAACUGGAAGGCUAGAGUGUGGCAGAGGGGGGGUGGAAUUCCACGUGUAGCAGUGAAAUGCGUAGAUAUGUGGAGGAACACCGAUGGCGAAGGCAGCCCCCCUGGGCUAACACUGACGCUCAUGCACGAAAGCGUGGGGAGCAAACAGG